GUGGGGAAUAUUGGGCAAUGGGGGCAACCCUGACCCAGCGACGCGGCGUGAGGGAAGAAGGCCUUAGGGUCGUAAACCUCUGUUGUGUGGGAAGAAGGAAGUGACGGUACCACACGAGGAAGUCCCGGCUAACUACGUGCCAGCAGCCGCGGUAAUACGUAGGGGACGAGCGUUGUCCGGAAUUACUGGGCGUAAAGGGCGCGUAGGCGGUCAUUUAAGUCAGCUGUGAAAUGGUCCGGCUCAACCGGAUCAUGCGGUUGAAACUGGAUGACUGGAGUGCUGGAGAGGCAAGUGGAAUUCCCAGUGUAGCGGUGAAAUGCGUAGAUAUUGGGAAGAACACCGGUGGCGAAGGCGACUUGCUGGCCAGCAACUGACGCUGAGGCGCGAAAGCCAGGGGAGCAAACGGGAUUAGAUACCCUGGUAGUCC
rnacentral:rRNA from 1 species